rnacentral:rRNA from 1 species
GCUCAGAUUGAACGCUGGCGGCAGGCCUAACACAUGCAAGUCGAACGGUAACAGGAAGCAGCUUGCUGCUUCGCUGACGAGUGGCGGACGGGUGAGUAAUGUCUGGGAAACUGCCUGAUGGAGGGGGAUAACUACUGGAAACGGUAGCUAAUACCGCAUAACGUCGCAAGACCAAAGAGGGGGACCUUAGGGCCUCUUGCCAUCGGAUGUGCCCAGAUGGGAUUAGCUAGUAGGUGGGGUAACGGCUCACCUAGGCGACGAUCCCUAGCUGGUCUGAGAGGAUGACCAGCCACACUGGAACUGAGACACGGUCCAGACUCCUACGGGAGGCAGCAGUGGGGAAUAUUGCACAAUGGGCGCAAGCCUGAUGCAGCCAUGCCGCGUGUAUGAAGAAGGCCUUCGGGUUGUAAAGUACUUUCAGCGGGGAGGAAGGGAGUAAAGUUAAUACCUUUGCUCAUUGACGUUACCCGCAGAAGAAGCACCGGCUAACUCCGUGCCAGCAGCCGCGGUAAUACGGAGGGUGCAAGCGUUAAUCGGAAUUACUGGGCGUAAAGCGCACGCAGGCGGUUUGUUAAGUCAGAUGUGAAAUCCCCGGGCUCAACCUGGGAACUGCAUCUGAUACUGGCAAGCUUGAGUCUCGUAGAGGGGGGUAGAAUUCCAGGUGUAGCGGUGAAAUGCGUAGAGAUCUGGAGGAAUACCGGUGGCGAAGGCGGCCCCCUGGACGAAGACUGACGCUCAGGUGCGAAAGCGUGGGGAGCAAACAAGAUUAGAUACCCUGGUAGUCCACGCCGUAAACGAUGUCGACUUGGAGGUUGUGCCCUUGAGGCGUGGCUUCCGGAGCUAACGCGUUAAGUCGACCGCCUGGGGGGUACGGCCGCAAGGUUAAAACUCAAAUGAAUUGACGGGGGCCCGCACAAGCGGUGGAGCAUGUGGUUUAAUUCGAUGCAACGCGAAGAACCUUACCUGGUCUUGACAUCCACGGAAGUUUUCAGAGAUGAGAAUGUGCCUUCGGGAACCGUGAGACAGGUGCUGCAUGGCUGUCGUCAGCUCGUGUUGUGAAAUGUUGGGUUAAGUCCCGCAACGAGCGCAACCCUUAUCCUUUGUUGCCAGCGGUCCGGCCGGGAACUCAAAGGAGACUGCCAGUGAUAAACUGGAGGAAGGUGGGGAUGACGUCAAGUCAUCAUGGCCCUUACGACCAGGGCUACACACGUGCUACAAUGGCGCAUACAAAGAGAAGCGACCUCGCGAGAGCAAGCGGACCUCAUAAAGUGCGUCGUAGUCCGGAUUGGAGUCUGCAACUCGACUCCAUGAAGUCGGAAUCGCUAGUAAUCGUGGAUCAGAAUGCCACGGUGAAUACGUUCCCGGGCCUUGUACACACCGCCCGUCACACCAUGGGAGUGGGUUGCAAAAGAAGUAGGUAGCUUAACCUUCG